UACGUAGGUGGCAAGCGUUGUCCGGAAUUAUUGGGCGUAAAGCGCGCGCAGGCGGUCCUUUAAGUCUGAUGUGAAAGCCCACGGCUCAACCGUGGAGGGUCAUUGGAAACUGGGGGGACUUGAGUGCAGGAGAGAAGAGUGGAAUUCCACGUGUAGCGGUGAAAUGCGUAGAGAUGUGGAGGAACACCAGUGGCAAAGGCGGCAUCCUGGACCGACACUGACACUGAGGAGCGAAAGCCAGGGGAGCAAACGGG
rnacentral:rRNA from 1 species